UGUUUUUUUUCUUUAGUCUUUCACAUAUUUCAAAUCCAAACAUUGUCGAAACCAAAUCGGGCGAGUGGUAGCGCAAGCAUGUAAAUAACUUGUUAUGUCAUUUCACAAACUCACGUACAUACGUGAACUCGUACUUCUAGAGAGAAAAGAAAGAUUGGACCAUUUAUGUCGUGUCCAAGAAAAGAAACACGUGAAGCUUGCCACACACAUGUGAUGAAACCAUAGUUUUAAAUAGCCGAUCAUAGCCCCGUUAUAUAGCCUUGCCAGCAGGGUGCUCUAAAUGAUCUCAUGUACAAAUAGCCUAAUAUAGCUCCAUUAUAACUGAUUUGAAGGUCGAACGCUAUUUAUAGCAUAGCCUAUUUUAAAACACUGGAUGAAACCUACGUACCGAAGUAAGAAACAAAACAUACGUAAUGGCGCAUCACUGCCCCCCAUCUUUGCCCGCCCCGACGCCGGCCGCCAGCCAUCCCCAAAUGCCUCCUACAUACUAGUAUAACAUUGCAUCUUUUCCCAGAAGACCCUAGCGCGAGAGAGAAGAAGAUGGCCGCCGGCAGCUUGGCAAUGUCCGCACUACUCGCAGCGCUGCUGGCCUGCGUUCGGGUGGCCGUCAUCGCCGGUCAGUUCUCCCAUCCGAUGGCUUCUUCCUCAGUUGCAGGUGCAAGAGAUGCGGUGUGGUGCAUGAUGAUGCUAUAAGAUGAUGUUUGUGUCUGCUCCUUUGUCGCAGGUGGGACCGGCUCACCGUGCUUCGGGGAUAUCUGCGCCAUGGGCACCUGCAAGGAGCUGCAGGUGAUCAUCCCGUUUACCAACAUCUCUCCCUACGAGUGCGAGUGCAACCCCGGGUGGUCUUGGCCCAACGUCACCUUGCCGUUGUCAUCGGCAUUGCCAUUGCCGCCACACCUAUUUCUGUCAUGCACCAUCCCCACAUGUAAGCAAAAGCGCUCGAUAUGAUCACACCAUGCAUCAUACUCCCUCCAAUCCUAAAUAUAAGUUUUUUUAGACAUUUCAAAUGAACUACAACAUGCGGAUGAUGUAGACAUAUUUUAGAGUGUAAAUUCACUCAUUUUGCUUCGUAUGUAGCUACUUGUCAGAAUAUCUAAAAAGACUUAUAUUUGAGAACCGAGGAGGGAAAGGUGUGACUAUUCCCAUUAUAUAAUUAUUAAGGGUCUUGUAUAUUAUAUAAGUAAACCUAAAGGUUGUCCUUCAUUCAGGUGUAUCGACACCGGAAUUCACCUGCUACAAGCCCAAGCUGCCAAAUGCCGCCAACACAACCCUACUUGACCGUGCGUAAACUCUUCCAAACUGCCUGAUUCAAACCUUGAUAUAUAAUCACAGUACCAAUCGAGAUCGACUAGCUAGUUUAUCUGGCAAUUGACUGAUUUUUUUCCUUUCGCCUUCUUGUACGUGUCAGCCUGCUCAUACAACGAUUGUGGCUCGGAAGGCACGUGCGUGAGGGAAGAGGACCUCCGGUUCCGGUGCCAGUGCAACCCCGGCGCAACCAAUGUGAAAAGCAAACCUUACAUGCCUUGCAUCAAGAACUGUAAGUCCAUCCCGGCCGGCGCGGCCGUCUGAGAAAAGAAAUUGUCUCAACAUUCUGAGUACCUUUUAUUUCUUGUUGUUUGUUUUGAGACCUGCUGCUCGAGCGUGUGUAGGUGCCAUCGACGACAAGGGCUGCCCAGUUUCCUCUUCAACGGCGCCACCUGGUAAUGAUCACCAAUCAUCUGGACCAACUGCUCCAUCCAUCCAACUCAUUCCAUUCCGCCCUCCGUCGAGAUCGUCACACGUACAGCCUUGCAUGCAUCGAUCCACGCGCCUUCCAUCUCCGUCCAGCCAGCACGAACGAAGAGAGGACAUAUGGACUGCAUGCUAACUAAUGGCGCUGUGUAUUUUGCAGGCUCUGUUUCUUUGAAGAACCGGCUGCGGCUGUCGCUGCUGCUGGCCUCGCUUGCGGCGCUUCACGCUGUGACUGUGUGAUCAAGUGACAGUAGUACACUGUGUGUGGCCUGUGAGUGAUACGGACGUGCACGGCUAGCUAGUACCGAGGGGGCUGCACUGCAACGUACGUACGCUAUGUAUGGUGUGUACUUCGUAUGCCAGUUCACAAGACAAGAUAGACGAGAGCAAAGCAAAUUAUGGGGUUUGCAUAACCCGGUUUUGCCAAAUUAAUUUUAGCAAAUAAUGGGGUGUGCAUAACCUGGCACAAUUUUAUUUCUAGUGAGAAACAUCAAAUAUACAUCACAAUAGCUAUAUGUAAUUUUGUGGGAGGAGUAAUGUUUCAAGGAGGAAGAAAGUUGAAGGAAGAAAAAAGAAGGACGGCCGUUGGAUCUCAAUCCAAUGGCCUACACAACUGACUUACCCAAAAUAUAUUUUUUAUAGAUGACUUAUGUGUAGCCAAUCCAUACAUACAUACAUACACGUACACCAAUGCAGAACCGGGCAUUAUCACCGGUUCGAAAGGCCCUUUAGUACCGGUUCAUACGAGCCAGCGCCGGGGAUGUGGAGACCUUUAGUGCCGGUUUGUAACACCAACCGGUACUAAAAGGUUUGGGGUUUUGGUUUUAUUAUUUAUUUUUUUUCUUUUAAUUUUGUGUUUUCCAUUUAAUUUAGAGAUUGUUUUUACAUUAUAAUGAGUUAUUAAAUCACUAGGUGAAAGAACCACGGAUUAGUUUUAACUGGAUGGAUCCUAAGUGAUCAAGUAAUAUGGAUUAUCCAUAAUACUUGAUCACUUAGGAUCCAUCCACUUAAACUAAUCUGUGGUUCUUUCAUAAAUGAUAUAAUAACUCAUCAUCAUAUUAAUAUAAAAACUCUUGCAUCAUAUCAUCACCAACAACAUUAGCUAAUAAUCAUCAUAGUCAUUACCACUAUUUAAUCAUCAUAGUCAUUACCGCUAUCUAAUCACCACCAACGCUAGCUUAAAGGAAAAACAUUCACUUGUACCAGAAGCAAAGAUAUCAUCGAGUUCAACAUGGUCACAACAUUAUAAGCGUUCAUAAGACCACAAAAGCAAAGAUUAAGUUCAGGCGAAGAACACGGACAUGAGAGGACAAGUACUAAGAGUAGGAACUAGCUAAUCACUCCUCCUGCUCUCUCUCUCAGGUAAAAUAGCAUAGAACAUGUGUAGUUCUCCUGAUUUAUCAUAUUGGAGCAUGCAGAUUAACCUGUCUCCUAAUCAUGGGUUGCGCUUCGUCUGAUUAUUGCUGCCCCCUAGUAGUUCUCUGCGAUCCUUCACAAUUUUGCUCCAGUCUUUCACUAUUAAGCAUUCCUCGGUUUCAGAAAUCCUGAAUGCACUCAUGUGCGAUGUAGGAUGUCUUGGACGUAAGCUAACCAUUGGCAUGCGACCUUUAGUCUCGGUCCACUGAGGCACAACUAUCAUCGGGAGUCCCUGUUGAAGAACAUCGUAUAGUAACAUACUUAGCAAUGAAGUUGAGCUUAAAAAUAAUGUAUGCAAAAGAUGCAUUGAGGACAAAUAGUAUAAAUCUUGCCAUCUUUCCUAAAUAGAUAUGACCGUAGUUCAAUACGAACACUAUUGAUCACACGUUUUGAGUAAUAAGAUUUUCAAGUCCAGGAAAAUAAUUUCUCUUGACAGCAUCAAGAUCCUCAAGCCAUGAAACAUAAUGACUUAUCUCCUCGCAGUUUAGUUCAGCCCUGGGACAAUGGACGGUCCUGUUUACCAAGCGCUGGACAUGUUUGCUUGAAUGGAAAUAAGUUGUCAAUAGAAAUUAGUUGGUAACUAUUUUUGAAUAAACAAUAUCGAAAACAUAAAUAUGGUUGAGAAACUCACAUAAUGGUAGAACUGGAGGCGUCUGCACAUCGACCCAGAUGUCGAUAUUACCUUCAAUAUCAUCUUUCGGACGAAUAUCAAAGGUGAUAACCAUAUCAGGCUCAAAUGUAUAAUCCUUGCAUAGUACUUGCCAGGUUUUGCAUUCAAAAUAGGUGUAGGUGUCUGCAUUGUAUAAUUUUGCGUAGAAAGUAUAAUCAUGCCCGGUCUUCAAGUAAACUCUCUUUACCUCCAUAGUUUUCAUAGGACUGAAACCAAUCUUAUCCAAGACCAAAAUUCUUGCAUGGCAGGGGAUACACUAGUAGAAUGGUAAAAUUUUAAAAUUAUAAGUCGAAACAAAUGAAGCAUAAAUCAUGCUUAAUUAUGAAAAAAGACUUGUCGUUGUGACUUACUGUAUCCACUUCGAAUGUCUCAUCCAGGUUGAUGCUGAAGCCUCCCAUCAACUAGGAAAUUUCUAUCGCACAGGCCACGCUCGUCUUCAUAGUAUUCGCACAUACCGAAAUCCUUUUCGUCGUCAGACAUUUCCUAUUUUCAUAGUUAAAACAUUAAUUGAUAAACACUUACUAGCUAGUUCUAUUAAUUUAACUAGUUCUAUUAAUUCAAGUAGUUCUAUUAAUUCAACUAAGCACUUACUAAAAGUAAACUAGUUCUAUAGUAAAGUGUUAAUUAGAUCAUCAAAUCUCAUAUACCUAAAUUUAAUACAUCUAAUUCAUCUAACAUUAAUAUAUCUAAUUCAUCUAUAACUAAAAGUAUAAAUUUAGCCGGCAGCCACACACCUCCAAUCCGGACUCUCAAAUUGUCAAAUACAUGCAAAUCAAAACACAUCCAUCAUACACGCCAAUGUCGCAAGUACAUUACAAGAGUUGGUAGCGAAAAUACAUAGUUCUUAAACAAUAAUUGAUAUUAAGUGCACAACUCAACAGUAGCUCUAUGGUCUUUAUUGUGGGCCCACAUAUGCUCCCCAACGUCACUGAGUAGCUGCAUGUGCACCUGAUGAUCUCGAAGAUUCUGAUGCAUCCGCAGAAAGUUCAUAAGCUAAUUUGUAUCUUGAUCUUUCAGGAUUUGGACUUGUUCUCCAGACACUUCAUAAUCAUUGGUUUGUGCUACCCCAUCAUCCCCAUCCUUGACAAUCAUAUUGUCCAGAAUAACACACAUGCCAUCGGCUAUCACAAAUUUUCGGAUUCCCACAUCAUUGUAGCUCCACGAACAAUUCCCCAACGAGUUUGAAGCACUUCGAAUGCCCUCUCCACAUCCUUCCUAGUUGCUUCCUGCAUUGUUGCAAAGUGUCUUUGUUUGCCGCCUUGUGGUUGUAUGGUCUUCACAAAAGCCGCCCACUAAUGAUAGAUGUCAUCGGCAAUAUAGUAUCUCAUGUCGUUGUGAGAAUCGGGCAUUCCAAAGAAAUCAUGCCAAAUAGUCAUGUGAUGUCAAUAUGAUGGCGGCCUCUUUGGUGCGACCUUGGUAUAUUCCAUGCAAAUCUUUGGGGCAGUUCUGCCAUUGCCAAUGCAUGUAAUCAGUUAAUCCGAGCAUUCCUAGAAAAUUGCCUUUCCAAUAGCCAACAUCUUUUAUGCGACAGACAUGGGCACUGCGAGGAAUGUGGGGAGAGGGAACGGCCGAGUGGAGGCUAAUAGGAUGGUGGUCUUCACUCAACUUACAUAAAAAAUUCCUCAAUCUCAGCUUCCAAUAAAAAUUUCCUCAAUUUCAUAACUCUGAUGGUAAUUAAGAUAAAGUUCAUAUCAAGAGUACAAACAUAUAAUUUAGCAAAAAAUGUAAAUGCUUAUAUUUUACGAAUUGUAGGGCUUUACCCUCACCCAAAGGAAAGGGAGCCCUUCCAAAAAUUCCUUCCAAAAAUUCUCAGUGGCCCCGAAGGGCCAAAGAGGGGGUUUGAAAAUAGUUUUCAACCAGCAAUUGACGCACCUCGUUAUAACCUCACUAGCUGCGUCAUUGCCCCAAGCGCAAAGAUGGGAUUAACAGUUCCCCUGUCACGCCAUCUUAUACCCAUCUCCACCUCUCCUGCCUCCUCGCCCACCGAUGUGGGACAAAAGAACGUGCAAAAACCAGCUGUGCACGUUUCGCUCUUCUCAUGGGCCGCUAGUAUACACAAAGCCCAUUUCUCUCUAUCUUACGCUAAUCGGCCUGCGGUAAACAAGAGCUAAGCGAAUGAUGUUCUCAAAGAAAAUAAAAAACUGUUGUCUCAAAAAAAAAAACUGAAGCCAGUGAGUUAACAGAUUUUUUUUUUUGCGGCGUAAGUUAACAGACUUGACAGUUGACACUAUCACUUUUUGCUCAGGAAAAUGGUAACACCAUGAUUUUUCAUUGAUAAGAAAACAUAUCCUAAACUUUCCAAAAAUGAUAAAUCCGGAACGUUCGGGGUUUAAUCAUGGCAAUUCAAACGUUUUCGAUGUCAAGUUUAGUUGACACGAGGCUGAAAGUUUAGCUGGCAAGGCAAUUUUCUUGCAAAAAGCAGAUUUGUCAUGCUUACCAGCUACACUUGCCAUGGUCAACAAAUAUAAAUUGCCAAAAAAACGUUUGAUUUGCCAUAGUCAGAGCGAAACUAUGAUACAUCAACGGGUAGGCAUAGUUCGCAUGAGUUGAUCAUUGUAAGUCUCAAGCAUAUAACAGCAUCCUCAAGGCAAACAAAAACCGGGGUAUGGAAAGUGAUAGAAAAAGUAUGAGAAAAACUCCGACAAAAACCAUGUACUAUUAUACUUAUUCCUUACACAAUCAGUAAACCUCCUGGUAAAGUAUAAGAUAGACUUUACGAGACUAGAAAGAAUAUAGGGGAGCUCUAACGACUAGCCUCUUCCGCUCAUCUCGUCUGUGUAGGGGAGCACAGGAGGCCCGAGGCGUCCGCGCCGACCACAGCCAGCUCGCAUAUGGUACAAAGCUGCCCUUCAAUGGCAGGAACAAACCGGGAUCCGCAGUAUGGGCACGAGAUGUCCUUUUGGCCGCGGUAGAUGGGAACAUACGUCGAGCCACAGACGACGAACGGAUUUCUGUAGUCAUAGUUGAGCUCAUGGCUGUCCUUCUUGCCGUUGCACUGCUGCUGCACCUGCCGAGCCUUCUUCGCUUGGACCUCAUUAGGGCUGUUCUCAAGGAGCAGCCUCGCAAAGUGCUCUGCGGUCGCAAAGUUCUUCUGCUUGUAGCAUAGAGCCAUGGCGUUCGAGAGCACAAGGCGCAUGUGAACCCUCUGGAGCUUGCAGUUGGUGAAGUAGGCCGCCAGUUCCUGUUGCCGGUUGACGUUGUCCUUCAAUUCCUUCCUCUUGAGUUCCAUUCUUAGACCAAGAACAUAUUCCCUCACUAUCUCGAUCAACUCCUUCACUUCAUCAACUUCUCUCCGCGAGUCCACCACGAUCAAGGGAAUGGUAUGCAAGAUGCUGAGGAACUGUCUCAGCGCUUCUGGGAACUUUCCCUCGGUUGUGGCUUUGUAGGCUGCCUUGAGUCUGUCUUCCAUUUGUGAGAAGGUGAAAACUAGUGAAGGAGGGCCCCUCACGUUAGGACUUGAGGACUCACUCCAACCUUUCUCAACAGCAAUUGAUAUAACGGGAGCAGUUGCAAGUGCGCGAAGAUAUGAAUGACUGCCCAUAUGAAGAUCGAGAAACAUGGGUUUCAGGGGAGCAAAGUUCUUGAUGCCCAACUGGCGGCUGAGCAACCUCAUUGCAGUGUCGAAGUUGCCUGCUGCUGCAUGCUCCCCAGCAAGAGAAGAUUUCUGAGUCCAAAUUUGGCUGACAGGCAUUCCUGGUGUAGGAGCAACAAACACAGUGGAGCGAGCAUUUCCAGCAGCUUUUGGGGUCUCAGCUUCAGGCAAUUCCAGAUCUUCAAGAUCCCAACCACCUUCCUCACCAUCCUCCUCGUUCGCUUCACCUUCCUCGGGAUCAAAACCAUCACCUCCAUUUGCCACUGCAUCACUUGCAUCCACAAUAUCCAAGUCCUCAUCACCCCAGUCAGCACCAGCAGCUUCAUCAUCUUCCUCAACUUCUGCUCUCCCAGUAGCAUCCAGUCCACCCUCAAAUAUGCCACGCAUCACCCGGAGCAAUGGCCAAUCAACGCUGGAUAUGAGGGGUGCGGGCGGAAUCAAGAGUGAGCGAGUUUUUCCUUCAGGUAGAGAAGGAACAUUCUCACCCAACUCAGCAGCAAGCCUUUCAGCAAUUUCAGUGAGACCAUGAGUGGCAGCAGUGACGUAGGCAAGAGGAAGCUGUCCAGCAUUCUCCAGGAUCUCAGCUCGCUUCCUAGCAUCGCCAAGAUACAAUGCAUUGUGGAACUGACCCAUCAAAUUGUUAUUCUGUCCGGCAAUUUUGCACAUGAAGCCAACCUUGUCCAUGUAACCAGUAAUAAGAUACAGAAAUGUCAGCCUCUCAAAAUUCUUUGUCCGCUGGUAUGCGUAUUCCACAAUACCAACAUUCCCCUGCCUCAGGGCCUCAAUUCCCAAUCUGUACCAGUGAUCCUUGUCAUCAAUCUCUUUUGCAGAAGCCACUGCGAUUUGGAUGUUACCACUUUCAAGAGCUAGAUUGAAUCUUGUCUUUUCAUCUUUCACAAAGUGGAGAGCAACUUCUGGAAACCCUUUCUGUUGCAAAUAUGAAAUCACUGCCUGCCCACACAGCUGUGAGCUCUUAAUCAUACUCAUAACAUGGUCAUAACGUUUCCGGAGAAGGGCGAGCUUGAAAAUGUAUUCAGAAGCAUCAACUGUUAUCAGCUUGUUCUUUCCAUCACGAUCAAGACAGAAAAUGUUGUUCCCAAUAACCCUUGUUAUGUAAACAGGGACAUCAAGGGUCUUUAUGAUCCCACUAUCUCCAUUGGGAAGACAGUAUUUGAUAUGGUUCAAAGUAGAGUAAAUAAAAACACCGUUCUCAUCCCAGGCACCACUUUUCACACGAAUAGUUUCAUGCAGUGUAGAGUGAUGGACAAGCUUCUUGCUAGCUAUAACUACUGCAUGCUUGCUCAGCAGUGCAACAUACUCCAUGUCACUGGACCAAACUACAUAUUUAACACCAGCUGACUGGAGUUCACCAAGAACUAGCCUUUGUUGUAGAUCAAAGAUGGUCACACGAUCUUCAGCUUUGCACAACAAAUUACCAGUCCCAGCAUAAUAAAUUGCAUCAGUCGCAAUAGGAAGAGGACUCUUCUUCACAAUUUCGUUCUUAAGAUUCUUCACCAAAACUUGAUUGCUACUCUUCUCAAGGACAGCAAACCUAUUCCGUGCCACAAAAACAGCCGAGCCACCAGCUCCCUUCUUUGCCUCUUGCAAAUAAUCAGCCCUGCCAGCAGAAUCUUUAGGAACAAUGUACAGAUCAUAUGAGCCCCCGUCCACAUCAGAGCAGAUCAACACAGCAUUUUCAGUUGGACUAUAAGAUAGUGUCCUGGGUGACUGGUUCAAGCUGACAGAUCCUGGUCUUCUUAUUGGAGCCACCUGAACUUCCUUCUGGGUGGAGUACUCAAAGAACCGGAGGAAUCUGUCCUUCACAUAGAACACAGUAUCAGCACUCACGCUGAAAGCUGGGCGUUCCCUCUCUAAUUUAAACACAAUCAUGCCACUGUCAUGACCAGCAGCAAGAAGAUUCAUUUCAGGGUGGGCAGCAAGGAUCCAGAAACGGUCAUGUUCCCGCCUAAAUGUCUGAAUACCAGUUCGCUUUGUGGCAUCCCAAAUGCGAAUGCUUUUGUCCUCUGAGUUGGACACAAUGAUGUCUUGCUUCGCAUGGAACAUCACACACGACACAUUAUUCAUGUGCCCCCUCAAAGUAUCAACUUCCCAAGCCUUGGUAUCUGUCAAAAAAUAUCAAAUAUUAUUUUAUUGUUUGUUCAAUCCAACAAAUACUCAACAAAAAAAUAAUUAGUUCUAGACUAGACCUUCAAUUGACAUUUCUCAUGUUGAACAAACAAGAGUAAUUUCACAAUUUGUUUAUAAUUUGUUCAGUCCUACCAAUAUGCAGAGUGUUUUACUGGAUAUUAAAUGGUUAUAUGCAUGUAAUCACUCAGAAUUAACAAAGAAGUAAUUUGAUAAUUACGAAACAUGUUUCUUAAGUUCAGCUAGUUUUGAUGACCACUGAUAAUUUACUUGAUAUUACUUAACAUAGACUGAGGAGUAAACAGUAAUAGGUUCUGUACAAGUAAUAUCACUUAAACAGAAUCAAAAGGAUUCAAAAUAAAAUGACUAAUUCACAAGCAUUGUUUCAAACUGCCAUACAAAAGAAUGAAAUGAUGCAUACAUAAAUAUGUAAUUAUUGUUUAGAUACAACAAAAUAAAACAAACCAGACAUAAAUAGUUAAAGAAGUGAUUGCAUUGUUACCAUUCAUUCUCCACAGCUUCACUUGCCGGUCAUCAGCCCCAGAAACAAUGAGUGGCAGUGUAGGGUGAAAUGAUGCCCAGUUGACACCACGGUCAUGGCCUUCCAAGACAUAUUUCACAACCGCAUCGACGCCCCCAAACAGAUCAGUGUUCAUCUGAGUGAGACGCAGGAUGUCAUCUGCAGGUGACACCGUCUUCUUCCUCAGGGCACCAAUAUCCCAAACACGGACAGUCUGAUCUAGCGAUGCUGACACAACCAGGUCCUCCUUGGGGUGGAAGGACGCGCACAUGACAUAGUGAUUAUGCCCCGUGAGCACAGCCACACAAGUACGUGACUGCCAGUUCCAGAUCCGGAUUGUCUGGUCAUCACUGGCACUCACGAUCCAUGGGUACUCAUGGUGGAAUUGAACAGUACGAAUGUAGUCGAGAUGCCCAGUAAGCGUAAACAAGCAGCGGUGUGUCUUGUAAUUCCACACCUUGAUCUUAUAAUCAUCACCUGCAUUGCAUCACAACCAAAAAACUUAGUUCAACCUUUUCAUGUUCCAACCUAUGACUCACUGCUAAGCUAGUAACUAAAACAUGAACCAGACUAAGCAGAGUGCACCCCAGUGUCACCAGCCACACAAUCCGAUCAUGGUUUUGUGAAUUCUAGUGAGCAUGCAUUGGAUUAUUUUACCACCUACUCUACAUUCAUUUUCAACUGGCUGAAAAUCUUUGGUGACACCAGUCACUAAUAACAACCAAAUGGCACCUGAGGCGCCAAGUAAACAAUUCUAGAAACAGCAAAGAUCAUAAAGUGAGCACUAGAUCCGACAAGCCCAUCCUACCAACUUAGGAUUCGUUAACAACCACCGGCACACAUCAAGCGCGAUCUAAUAGCAGCGCCGACGGAUCACACAGACAUCUAACGGCCUCGAAACUCGCGCGCAGAGCCUCCAAUCCAAGGUAAGGCUCGGGGCCGCAGCGCGCAGCUCUGUAUCAAUCCGCAAAUGGCAAAUCACGUAUGAGCCGAUCGAGCCGAGCGGGAUCUAGCAGGGCGGGGCAAGGGCAGUACCUCCGGAGACGAAGAGGGGCUGGGUGGCGUGGAAGUGGACGCCGCGGACGGGGCCGUCGUGCUCGUCGAAGCGGUCGAGGAGGGUGCCCAUGCGGUAGUCCCACAUCUGGAUCACCCCGCUGUGGAGGCUGGCGAGGAUCCAUGGCCGCCGCGGGUGGAAGCUCAGGCCCUUGACCCGGUUGCUCUUGGUCUCGAACUUGGUCAGCAUCUUCCGUUCCCCCGCCGGCGGCGCGUCGUCCCCGGCGACGGCGGCGGCGGCCCCUGGCCCUGGCCGCGGAGAGGAGCGGGGGAGGGGUGGGNNNNNNNNNNNNNNNNNNNNNNNNNNNNNNNNNNNNNNNNNNNNNNNNNNNNNNNNNNNNNNNNNNNNNNNNNNNNNNNNNNNNNNNNNNNNNNNNNNNNNNNNNNNNNNNNNNNNNNNNNNNNNNNNNNNNNNNNNNNNNNNNNNNNNNNNNNNNNNNNNNNNNNNNNNNNNNNNNNNNNNNNNNNNNNNNNNNNNNNNNNNNNNNNNNNNNNNNNNNNNNNNNNNNNNNNNNNNNNNNNNNNNNNNNNNNNNNNNNNNNNNNNNNNNNNNNNNNNNNNNNNNNNNNNNNNNNNNNNNNNNNNNNNNNNNNNGGGGGGGGGGGAGGGAGGGAAUGGCCGAUGGGUGGGGAGGAGGAAGGUGCUUUGGAUCUCGGGCAAGAGGAGAUCUGGGUUUCCAACGCUGCUGAGGUGGUGAGAGGCGGCGCCGCCGUUGGAUUCUGGGGAAAGGCGAUCUGAGCCGUCGGAAAUGGUGCGCCCGAGUUGUCAGUCACGCGCUCGCUUGCCGCAAUGCUAAGAUAAGCGGUUUGGCUAUGACCAAUUUUUGGUAGAGUACGAAUUAUAAAUUUCAUGCUUAGAUAAGUGCUUGCCUCUUAGCAAAUUCUCCCUCUGUAAAUAAAUGUAAGACACUCUAGGUAACUAAAGUACCUACGCAAGGUUGAGGAGGGUGCCCAUGCCGGAAAUGGAGUAUUUUGUUUAUUUUCUAGAUUGGAUUUUUUAAAUAUAAAAUAUUGAGUACAACGUGUACUUUCAUAUCUACGCAUCCACCAUCACACACACACUUCGUAUAAUGCCUUCCAAAGACUGCAAUCGCGGAGCUUUAAGAUUGAUCGAUGUCGCCACUAGCAUCUCGAUAUCAUGAAAGUAUCACCUCCUACUGAAAAGAAAAUGCUUUGAUCGAACAAUAAGAUGGUAAAAGCUAUGAUUAGAUCCCUUGUUGGCUCGGAGUACAAGUACCCUCCUAAACAUCCAACUAUGGAUUGGUUCUCGUGUGGAAUGGAAUUUGUAUCGGAAAUUACAUCGGUACAAAUUCACAUAAAGCACCAAAUGGUAUUUGUAUUGGUGCUUAUUCCAACAUGAGUGCUAAGAACUACUACUCCCUUUGUAAAGAAAUAUAAGAGGAGUAAAUUAAAUGAUAUUAUAUUUCUUUACGGAGGGGGGGAAUUAAAGUGGAAAAGGGUCCCACGCCCUAUACGUCACUGGCGAGAGACGGGAAGGGGAGGGGCUCACGGGUAACAAAAUGAGAGGGCGUUGGGGGAGAGGGGCGGAGAGUUGAUCCGUUCUAAUAAAAAUACAUGCAUCAUGUUGGUCCCUUCUCGGGCGGUCUUGUUCCCUCUUAUCUUCGGUAUCCGGUUUGUUCUUACUCUGUGCUUCCAUUCAGAUUUGGGAGCAGGUCAUCUGGAAGUUGAAGCAAGCUGGUUUGGAGGAGGCCCAUGGCUUCAUGACUAGUUCCCGGUGUCUCUCUCAUCUCGAUUUGUUGAUGUGUUAUUUUUGCUUUCUUUUGUACACUGGAGAGAGCUCGCCUUAUAGUGAUAAACAUGAUGGGAUCAUAUCCAGCUUCUCUUCGACAUCCAUCGUAGCCCCCUUCCAGGAUUUUUGGGCCUUGAAUAAUUCUCUCAUGCUUUGACCCAAACCUUCAAUUUCCACUCGACGGCCUCUACUUUAUCUAGGGGCGCUUCCUCGGUGAUAGGCGAUGGUGAUCAUCCAAGUUGUUUGAGGCCAAGCUCGUCUUCUCCCUCCAAACCCUAUAUGGAAGGAUUUGCUAAUGGACUAUAGUGUUGUUGCUCUUCAACAUUUGAUGGUUACGACCUCGGGCUUCUGUUCAUCGGCGUUGGCAGUCAACCCCUUGGUCGGCGGACAACCAGACUCAUCAGCACUUGUCCGCCUUCAUGGUGGCCUGGAGGUCGACGUGUCGCUUUCUUUGCGAUAGUUGUUUACACGUGCCUCUUCAUGGCAAAGUUGUAAUUCAAUUUUUUUAUGUUUUUUAUUUUGCUUGUACCGUGCAGCAUUGAUCUUAUAAUCGUCUGGGUUCUGGCCCAGUUUGCAAUAGGCCUUUCCACUAUAACAAGAGGGACCUCCUAUUUUAGCGCGAUGCACUCGGGCGAACAAGCCAACGCGCGCCCUUUAAGGCCGGCCCAUGUGAGGGACGGGGCACCCAUUUUUUCUAUGUGUUUUUCUUUUUAUUUUCUGUAUUUUAUUCUUCUUUAUAAUAAUUUGGGAUUUCAAAAUAUAUUGGAAAUUGUUAAAUUUGGAAAAACAAAUGUUCAAUACAUCAUAAAAAAUUUGAAGAUCCAAAAAAUGUUCGCAUAUUCCAAACUUGUUCAUGAUUUUGAAAGAAAUGUUCAGGAAAUCAAAAAGAGUUAAUGAUCUAAAAAAGUGAUUGCGCAUUCAAAAAAUGUUUCCAAAUUUGAACAAAUAACCGAAUUCAAAAAAUGUUCGCUGAUUCAAAAAAUGUUUACCAUUUCAAAAGAAUGUUCACAAGUUUCAAAACAAUGUUCACAAUUUUAAAAAAUGUCACGAAUUUGUAAAAAAAUGUCACGUAUUGAAAAAAUCUUCAUGAUUUCAUAAAGAUGUUCGGGAAUUAAAAAUGGCCGUGUAUUUGAAAAAAAUGUUUAUAAAUUAAAAAGUCAUGAAGUCGAAAAAUGCUCAUGAUUAAAAAAAAUAUUAAGAAAAAAAUGAUCACGAAUUUAAAAAAACUAUAUUCUAAAAAUGUUCUUGAGUUUCAAAAAAUAUGUUCACAAUUUCAAAAAAUGUUCACGGAUUUGUAGAAAAUGAUAGCAAAUCCAAAAAAAUGUUCAUGACUUCAAAAUAUUUCUUGCGAAUUUGACAAAUGUUCAUGAUUUCAAAAUGAUGUUUGCGAAUACAAAAUCUUCAUGAUUUCCAAAAUCUUUUACGAAUUCAAAUUUUUUUCACAAUUUUGAAAGAUGUUUGCAAAAAGAAAAAAGGAAAAAGGAAAGGUAAAAACGAAAAUAAAAAACAAACAUGAAAAAAACUUAAAAAUAAAUAAAAAUAAAAAUGAAAGACAAAAAUGAUAAAAAGAAAGAAAAAAUAGGAGAAAAAACAAAGGAAAACAGGUUCAAGGAAGGUUCUAGAACCUUCCCAAAUCAGUGGAAAGAACCCAGCAUGGGCAGGCCCAUACAGAGGACAUACGCAUGUUAGGGGCACGCACGACCUAUGCGCCAAAUAGGACCGGCCCUCUAUGGAGGGCAAGUUUGCCAGAAAAAACAUGAGUGCUUGACAUGGGGUUUGAUCCAUGUCGAUCAUGGUUUUAUUCUAAGAAUGGAUUUUUCCGCCGAUCUUACACUUCUAGACCAAGAUCUAAGAUUCUUACAUCAUGUUAUUUGCUAAAUCUUGGUCGUGCUUCUUAAAAUUGUGAAACUACAAAAAUUCAUACACACUCGUAGGUUCGGCGACUUCCCUACCGCAUAUUUGUCCGUAGGGUGAAAACCUCAUAUCUCAUAUUUGCCAAAUUGAAUGACAGUAGCUGCUCACUGCUCACGGCGUCCCUCCCUCCUUGGAGACCUUGACAUGAUAUGCUGUUGUGAGGAGGGAGCGUCGCCUUGGAGUCCUGGACAUGAUAUGGUGUUGUGAGGACCAGUUUGAGUAUGUCACUAUUGCCACUUUGGGAAAGCAUCACUGGUCAGGGUGGUUGUCAAUGUUCUCUUCCUGUUCAGAUAGGCGUACAUCUAUCGGAGGUUUGCCUUGCUAGUGCAGCUUUUUGGUCUGACGAUGCUUCAAGUUUUGCAAAUUAAGUAUAGUACAACAAGUUUUUCAUCAACGGAUCAUGUUGUUCCACAUAAUACUCCCCCUUCGGCUUCAUCCAACAGUGUGUGCACGUAAAUGAUCGUCCCUCUAUCUUGUGGUAUACCACGGCAGCGCGUGCGGGCUACAUACAAUAUAUACACCAACAUUGAGUGAAUGAUUCAAUCAACAAAUUGGGCAAGAGGAAGCAAAACUUACGGUCUCAUCCUUUGCCACGUGCAAUGGCCAGCUUUUGCCUCGAGCUGACGAACCAUGUCGCAAUACUUGGUGACGCUGGCCUCGAUAGUGUACCGGCAAUACGAUAACGACCUCAAGUUGCGUAGUUGAAUGAUGUACAUGUCGUAGGGUGCAAUGUGCUUUCGUGCGUGAAACUUUUCAUGCAUAUGCUGCCAGAAAGGCUCCCCUCUACUCCUGCCUACGUAAUCCGUGAAUACGGCCAAACACGCAUCGGAUAACAACUCAUCCUCCAUGGUCGAGUAGCUCACCAUCCUUCGUACUCUAAAAAAUGACAUAGCAUUUGAAAAAAAACUCAAUGACAUUUGACCAAACACCUACGGGUGUGGUGUCCGGGCAGAGUGUACCUGGAUACGAACAGCUCGAGGGUGGACAACUCCGUUGUAAUGGCGAGCGAGCGCGUCGGUGCUGGUUGCGGACGCCCGGCAAUGCCUCUGUGGCGGGAGGAGAUGUACAACGGCGGCGGCGGAGGCGGAGGUGGAGGAUGCGGAUGCAAAGUAAGGGGGAGAAGGAGUGAGUGGAAGGUAAUGAGACCGGAAGGGGGAAUGGGUGGGCCGGGGGUGUCUGUUGUCCGGACUUCCGUAAACCUCCCCUCACUGUCUCUAAUUUGCGGGAGAAAACGCAUCCGGACCGCGCCUUGGACCGAUACAGGCCCGCAUUGGAUGCCUUCCGCGGUCCGUACGGUUCGCGGGAGAUGCCCUUAGGUUCACGGGAGAUGCCCUUAGGCUCUCUUCUGGCGGAACUUGUUUUGCACGGUAUGUUUUUGUGUUUUCUUAUAAAGCGUGCCAAUCCUCUUUGAUUUUUCAGGAGGAAAAGAACAUUCGUGGAUAGGUUGAGGUGAAGAACUAGGAAAGUGAACUGAGCGCACGGCAGUUCGACGAAGCGGUCGUAGCUUCACGACGAAGAUGCGCCCAUACGCUGUCGUCCCUUUCCCAAGUUGCGGUUUGAAACAGAGUAACAGAGGGUUUGAAUCACCAAAGAGAUCGCCCAAGGUUGCUGUAGCAGGGGAGAAAAGUGAGGCGGCAGAAAGAGCCAUCGGAAUACACCAUCACUGAAGCUUUGCCGAUGCAGCCAAGCCGCACACAUUCCCAGCUAACUCGCGUUUCUUUCAGAGCAGGUACUAUGAUACAUCUCCUUUUAUUUCUUUUGAUGACUAGUAUUUUCGGACGGAGGGAGCAAGAUCGAAGCCAUUUCGCUCAACUCGAACGAGGAAGAAGACGACGCGAGCAACUCGUCUCGAACUCAGCACCGCAUGGAGCCAUGGCUGCCGUCACCACCGUUGGGAUGAUGGAAUGAAAUUGGAUUGAACCGCUCUUUAACCAGGGAGAUGAUAAAGCACCGGAGCCCGGGCCAUGUCGUGCUCACCCAUCUCUCUCUACCUGCAUUGAUGCCAGCCAUGAACAUUCUUGAAACUGCCUAGGACUGCUACUCGCCUAGUACUUCAGCGUCGCCAUCGCCAGUACAACAGCAUCCGAUCGCCGGCUGAUCCGUUUUCUCUCCGGGGACGCCUCCCCGCGUCAGCAGAUCACCAGAUUCUGUCGUGCACCAGCAUCUCGUUCGCGGUCCAGAGAACACCGUGGCGGAGGCAAGGCAUAUCACGCGUGAUCCCAGUCCUUGCACAAGGGACAACAUGCUCCAUUGGGCAAGCAAAUGUUUGAAAUCAUGCAAGAAAUGGAGCAGCGUUCACUUGCAAAUGCAUUUUAACAGCUACUGGAGAGCAGUGUUAACAUCACAGAUCGACAACCGGAAACCAUGGGAGAUGGAGGUCAAAAGGAACAAAAAUCAAUGUGAUUCACGCUUGAAAUGAACUGAGAAGAGCAUCAAUACAGUCACUGGAGCAGAAGCAGACGCCUCGGCUCGUUGUGUCCUCCUGGUGGAAGGAAAGGAUCGACUAAGUGUGCGCUGCGCUGACAGAGAUACAGAGAGAUACACCGUCCGUCGCCGGGGGAGACGACGCGCCCUCCGGCGACCAACACCACACCACGGACUGAAACACCACCCACACUCGCUGGACAGACGCUGCUGCUGCAUCGUCUCGUCUUCCACCUCCAAUUAGAACAACACGAACGGAGAAAUGACCCCCACGCUGAACAGAACGGACGGACACCAGGCACAAAGUGGAAAUGUUAGCUCGCUCGCUCCGGCCCGGCCUCGCUCACACGAAGCCGACCUCGGCGAACUGCGGGCGCGGCUUGGCCGCGGCGGAGCCGGGCCGCGGGACCGGCGCCAUGCCGUCCGGGAGCGGGUUCUUGCGCGGCCGGCCGCGCGGGCGCGGGAUCUUGGGCGGCGCGUCUGGGUCCCGCGGCUUGGGCGGGCGGCCCCGCCGGCGCGGCGCGGUGGCGACGGCGACGGCGACGGCUAGUCCGUCGCUAGGAGGGGCGCCGAUGAUGGCGGGAGCCCCCACGGGGUAGUAGCCUGGCGGGCGCACCUUCGGGGGCCGGCCGCGGCCGCGCUUGGCGGGAGGCGGGGGCGGCAGCAGCAGCGGCGCGUCGUCGGAGGAUUCGUCGUCCUCCUCCCCCACCUCCGCCUCCAUGUCCUCCUCCUCGACGAGGGAGCUGGAGGGCGGCGGGGGGAGCGCGUACUUGCCCCCGGCGACGGCGACGAGCUCGGCGGCGGCGGACAUGCGGGAGAGGUGCGCGGCGACGAGCGCGGGGUGCGACGGCGGGAGGUCGCCGCCGGCGCCGUGGGCCGCCUCGAUGCGGCGCGCGAUGGCGGCCUGGCUGGAGCCGUUGGGCUCCCGGAGCGACGCGAUGGCCUCCACGAUCAUCUGCACCCACCACACGGAGCCAAAAGAAGUCAAUUUUCCCAGAUCGGUCGGGGGCCGGGCCGCAGAUCUGGGGAAAGAACGAGGCGGCCGCGGCACCGGCGGCUAGGGUUUAGAUACGAGGGGCGGCGGGUGCUUGCCUCGGGGUAGGAGGGGGGGACGGCGAGGUCGGAGGCCGCGCGGGGCGACGACUGGUCGCCGCUG
rnacentral:lncRNA from 1 species